rnacentral:rRNA from 1 species
GGUUGUCGUCAGCUCGUGUCGUGAGAUGUUGGUUAAGUCCCGCAACGAGCGCAACCCUACGUUUAGUUGCUAACGCGUGAAGGCGAGCACUCUAGACGAACUGCCGUUGACAAAACGGAGGAAGGUGGGGAUGACGUCAAAUCAUCAUGCCCCUUAUGUUCUGGGCUACACACGUGCUACAAUGGCCGGUACAGACGGACGCAAAGCCGCGAGGUGGAGCAAAUCCUAAAAAGCCGGUCUCAGUUCGGAUUGCAGGCUGCAAUUCGCCUGCAUGAAGUCGGAAUCGCUAGUAAUCGCAGGUCAGCAUACUGCGGUGAAUACGUUCCCGGGCCUU